UGUCUUCUAAAUAAAGACCAGUAUGAACGGCUAAAUGAGGACAAAUCUGUCUCUUGCAACCAAUCAGUGAAACUGAUCUCUCGGUCCAAAAGCCGGGAUAACCCCAUAAGACGAGAAGACCCUGUGGAGCUUUAAACAAACCACUACGCAUCGCACUAAGCCAUAAUUUAGUGGGAAGUUUUAAGUUGGGGCGACUUCGGAAUCAAAGAAAACUUCCGAGCACAGAACCACCCAUUCUUACUAAGACCAACAAGUCAAAGUCUAAACAUGACCCAGUAACACUGAUCAACGAACCAAGUUACCCCAGGGAUAACAGCGCCAUCUUCUUCAAGAGUUCAUAUCGACAAGAAGGUUUACGACCUCGAUGUUGGAUCAGGACACCCAAAUGGUGCAGCCGCUAUUAAAGGUUCGUUUGUUCAACGAUU
rnacentral:rRNA from 1 species